CUUAUUGUAACUCAAACAGAUGAAAUAACUCCUUUGGCUACACUUGCUACUGAGGCACAGGGGCUUUGUCUUGAUAAUGUAGCACUAGGUAACAAGAAAAAGGCGUCUGGUGACAAAAAAGAUUUCACUAAGCCAUGUGUAGAAGAGAUUAUUGCUACAGAAGAGACACCUGAUCCAAAUGAAAUUCCAAUUUUGGAAGACUGAAAUGAUCCUGAAGACAUCUGGCAAACUAAAGGAAUCCCAGGACAUGCCAGUGCCAGAGACAAGACUUCAUCUCAGAUGGAUUCAUGAACAGAAGUCGGAACAGAAAAAAUGUCCGAGAGAAAACAUCCUAUACAGGGGUGCUUUAUCAUAAUACUGCACUAUUAUGAAAUGAAUGGCUGUAUUGGAUGAUGCAGUACAAAUAUACUACCAUUUAAUGGAUUCAC